UGUAGUCAUAUGCUUGUCUCAAAGAUUAAGCCAUGCAUGUCUAAGUAUAAGCAAUUAUACCGCGAAACUGCGAAUGGCUCAUUAUAUAAGUUAUCGUUUAUUUGAUAGCACAUUACUACUUGGAUAACCGUGGUAAUUCUAGAGCUAAUACAUGCUAAAAAUCCCGACUUCGGAAGGGAUGUAUUUAUUAGAUUAAAAGCCAACGCCCUUCGGGGCUCUCUGGUGAUUCAUAAUAACUGGUCGAAUCGCAUGGCCUUGCGCCGGCGAUGGUUCAUUCAAAUUUCUUCCCUAUCAACUUUCGAUGCGAGGGUCUUGUCCUCGCAUGGUUGCAACGGGUAACGGAGGGUUAGGGCUCGACCCCGGAGAAGGAGCCUGAGAAACGGCUACUACAUCCAAGGAAGGCAGCAGGCGCGCAAAUUACCCAAUCCCGACACGGGGAGGUAGUGACAAUAAAUACUGAUACAGGGCUCUUUUGGGUCUUGUAUCGGAAUGAGUACAAUUUAAAUCCCUUAACGAGGAACAAUUGGAGGGCAAGUCUGGUAAUCG
rnacentral:rRNA from 1 species